rnacentral:rRNA from 1 species
CAUGCAAGUCGAGGGGCAGCAUGGUCUUAGCUUGCUAAGGCUGAUGGCGACCGGCGCACGGGUGAGUAACACGUAUCCAACCUGCCGUCUACUCUUGGCCAGCCUUCUGAAAGGAAGAUUAAUCCAGGAUGGGAUCAUGAGUUCACAUGUCCGCAUGAUUAAAGGUAUUUUCCGGUAGACGAUGGGGAUGCGUUCCAUUAGAUAGUAGGCGGGGUAACGGCCCACCUAGUCAACGAUGGAUAGGGGUUCUGAGAGGAAGGUCCCCCACAUUGGAACUGAGACACGGUCCAAACUCCUACGGGAGGCAGCAGUGAGGAAUAUUGGUCAAUGGGCGAUGGCCUGAACCAGCCAAGUAGCGUGAAGGAUGACUGCCCUAUGGGUUGUAAACUUCUUUUAUAAAGGAAUAAAGUCGGGUAUGCAUACCCGUUUGCAUGUACUUUAUGAAUAAGGAUCGGCUAACUCCGUGCCAGCAGCCGCGGUAAUACGGAGGAUCCGAGCGUUAUCCGGAUUUAUUGGGUUUAAAGGGAGCGUAGAUGGAUGUUUAAGUCAGUUGUGAAAGUUUGCGGCUCAACCGUAAAAUUGCAGUUGAUACUGGAUGUCUUGAGUGCAGUUGAGGCAGGCGGAAUUCGUGGUGUAGCGGUGAAAUGCUUAGAUAUCACGAAGAACUCCGAUUGCGAAGGCAGCCUGCUAAGCUGCAACUGACAUUGAGGCUCGAAAGUGUGGGUAUCAAACAGGAUUGGAUACCCUGGUAGUCCACACGGUAAACGAUGAAUACUCGCUGUUUGCGAUAUACGGCAAGCGGCCAAGCGAAAGCGUUAAGUAUUCCACCUGGGGAGUACGCCGGCAACGGUGAAACUCAA